ACCAGACUCCUACGGGAGGCAGCAGUGGGGGAUAUUGCACAAUGGGGGGAACCCUGAUGCAGCGACGCCGCGUGGGUGAAGAAGCGCCUCGGCGCGUAAAGCCCUGUCAGCAGGGAAGAAAAUGACGGUACCUGAAGAAGAAGCCCCGGCUAACUACGUGCCAGCAGCCGCGGUAAUACGUAGGGGGCAAGCGUUAUCCGGAUUUACUGGGUGUAAAGGGGGCGCAGACGGCGAUGCAAGCCAGGAGUGAAAGCCCGGGGUCCAACCCCGGGACUGCUCUUGGAACUGCGUGGCUGGAGUGCAGGAGGGGCAGGCGGAAUUCCUGGUGUAGCGGUGAAAUGCGUAGAUAUCAGGAGGAACACCGGUGGCGAAGGCGGCCUGCUGGACUGCAACUGACGUUGAGGCCCGAAAGCGUGGGGAGCAAACAGGAUUAGAUACCCUGGAUC
rnacentral:rRNA from 1 species